AACGAACGCUGGCGGCAUGCCUAACACAUGCAAGUCGAACGAGACCUUCGGAUCUGGUUGCUCACGGGUGCGUCACGCGUGGGAACCUGCCCUUAGGUUCGGAAUACCUCCCCGACGGGGGUGCUAAUACCGGGUAAUGUCUUCUGACCAAAGAUUUGUCGCGCUUGUGGGGGCCGGCGUUGGUUUAGCUUGUUGCUAGGGUAAAAGCCUAUCACGGGGUGGAUACCUAGCUGGUCACAGAGGAAGAGUAGCCACUCUGGGAGUGAGACACGGUCCAGACUCUUACGGGAGGCAGGAGUGGGGAAUAUUGCACAAUCGGCUAAAUGAUGAACGAGCAAUGCCGCGUGAGCGAUGAAGUCCUGAGAGAAGUAAAGCUCUUUUACCCGGGAUGAUAAUGACAGUACCGGGAGAAUAAGCGCCGGCUAACUUCGUG
rnacentral:rRNA from 1 species